AAUUUAUCUGUUUUCUUCUAUUAACCUGCAUUACAGGUUGCCAAUAAGGAACUGCCACAGUAGUAGCAGACCUCCCCCACAUCGUGUCGCUUCUAGAGAGAAUAUUUAUUUAGUAAGACUUGAACAACCUAUUUAUAACGUGUCUGGUUGAGUCAGCAGAGCUUGGUGUUAGGAAAAGGCUGUAUUCCCUCUUUAACCACGUGAGGGAGACUGCAGAAAAUUAGAUAAUUGCUUGGUUGUGUGUAUAAUACUGCACUGUGCAUGUCCUAGUUGUGUUUGGAUUUACUAACACUUGUUAUUCAAAAUGCAAAAACAUAGAAGCAAUAUUACACUGCUGCCCUUGAUGUUUAAAACAUGCUUUUUUUCUCCUUCAUGAUGAAGUGUACAAGAGGGCUCACCAGAUCUGUGGGAUUUGCAAGAUCUUCCAAACACAUCUGGGAGGUGUUCAAUAAGAAAUUCCUACUUGCUUUUCCCUCAGUUUAAUUGGUGUGACUGUGUGGAGGGGACCUGGAAGAAGGAUUAAUGAGACUGGACAAAAUACUGCAGGUUAUUAUGACAAGGAAUGAAUGGACAUGAAGUGGCACCCCUUCGAUUCACAGCCUGGUGUGUUCUGAGCAGAAAUAUCUCCACAUCUUUCUGAAAAAAGCCAGUGAUGCUGCUUGCCUGCCUCCUUCAAAGCGCUUCUUACUGCAGAGGAUCUCUUCAGCUCAGCACCCAUUUGUUCGCACCUUCCAGCCCCUGGGGAGCUGCACCAAAUGCAGCAGGUCCUCACCUUCAGAGAGCACAUUCUCUCUAAUCUUGACAGAAAAUGGGUUUCCCUUUCUUACAGGAGAGGUGAAGCAACUGUAAGGAGGAGAUAAUACUGAGCAGUGUAAACCUCUGGAGCAUAUCUGAAGGACAAAGCUUUCACAAAAAUCACAUCACAAGCUGCUGUUGUUAAUUUGCCAUUUCUACUUUAAUAGCUGCACUUUAACAAGGGGUAUUUGCUUUGUAAGAGUUGCUAACACUAGGCCAGUAAAAACUACAUAACCUCUGCACUUUGCUAAUUAUUUGAAAUGCCCUUGGAAGGUUGCUUGUGGUUUUUCUCUCAUUUUUUUUUUCCAUUUUAUUUUACACUUUUUUUUAAAAGGAAAA
ensembl:lncRNA